rnacentral:rRNA from 1 species
AUUGAACGCUGGCGGCAUGCCUUACACAUGCAAGUCGAACGGCAGCACGGGACUCGGGCAACUGAGCCCUGGUGGCGAGUGGCGAACGGGUGAGUAAUGCAUCGGAACGUACCCAGUAGUGGGGGAGUAACUAGUCGAAGAUUAGCUAAUACCGCAUACGACCUAUGGUGAAGACGGGGAGUUCGCAAGAACCUCGCGCUAUCGGAGCGGCCGAUGUCUGAUAGCUAGUUGGCGGGGUAAAAGGACCCACCCAAGGCUUCGAUCAGUAGCUGGUCUGAGAGGACGACCAGCCACACUGGGACUGAGAC